AGCAGUGGGGAAUUUUGGACAAUGGGGGCAACCCUGAUCCAGCCAUGCCGCGUGCGGGAAGAAGGCCUUCGGGUUGUAAACCGCUUUUGUCGGGGAAGAAACGGCUUGCGCUAAUACCGCGAGCUAAUGACGGUACCCGAAGAAUAAGCACCGGCUAACUACGUGCCAGCAGCCGCGGUAAUACGUAGGGUGCAAGCGUUAAUCGGAAUUACUGGGCGUAAAGCGUGCGCAGGCGGCUUUGCAAGACAGAUGUGAAAUCCCCGGGCUCAACCUGGGAACUGCAUUUGUGACUGCAUGGCUGGAGUGCGGCAGAGGGGGAUGGAAUUCCGCGUGUAGCAGUGAAAUGCGUAGAUAUGCGGAGGAACACCGAUGGCGAAGGCAAUCCCCUGGGCCUGCACUGACGCUCAUGCACG
rnacentral:rRNA from 1 species